CUAGCCUUCAUUUAUUGUCCUUUCUUCCCACUGUGGCCAAUCAGCACAAUGAGGAGAUUCACACCUAUCAGACUGCACACAUAAGCUUUGUAUCUGCUUUGGCAAACAACUUCCAUGCGGGUUACCCUCUGGCCUAGAGAUGCACACACUAAUAACAUAGUGCUUGGAAGAACAAACAAGCAAGAGUUGCUUACAGAUACUGAAAGCAAGCUGAGAGAUACUUUGGUUUUCAAUAGAAAUUUUGCAACGUGGAGAGCAUAA
rnacentral:lncRNA from 1 species